rnacentral:rRNA from 1 species
UAAGUAGGGUGCAAGCGUUGUCCGGAAUUAUUGGGCGUAAAGAGCUCGUAGGCGGUCUGUCGCGUCGGCUGUGAAAACUCGGGGCUCAACCCCGAGCCUGCAGUCGAUACGGGCAGACUAGAGUGCUGUAGGGGAGACUGGAAUUCCUGGUGUAGCGGUGGAAUGCGCAGAUAUCAGGAGGAACACCAAUAGCGAAGGCAGCUCGCUACACGAAGAUUGACUCUGAGGCACGAAAGCGUGGGGAUCAAACAGG